rnacentral:rRNA from 1 species
GUAGGUAGUUUAACCUUCGGGGGGACGCUUACCACUUUGUGGUUCAUGACUGGGGUGAAGUCGUAACAAGGUAGCGCUAGGGGAACCUGGCGCUGGAUCACCUCCUUA